CAGUGAGGAAUAUUGGUCAAUGGGCGUAAGCCUGAACCAGCCAAGUCGCGUGAGGGAUGAAGGUUCUAUGGAUCGUAAACCUCUUUUAUAAGGGAAUAAAGUGCGGGACGUGUCCCGUUUUGUAUGUACCUUAUGAAUAAGGAUCGGCUAACUCCGUGCCAGCAGCCGCGGUAAUACGGAGGAUCCGAGCGUUAUCCGGAUUUAUUGGGUUUAAAGGGUGCGUAGGCGGCCUUUUAAGUCAGCGGUGAAAGUCUGUGGCUCAACCAUAGAAUUGCCGUUGAAACUGGGAGGCUUGAGUAUGUUUGAGGCAGGCGGAAUGCGUGGUGUAGCGGUGAAAUGCUUAGAUAUCACGCAGAACCCCGAUUGCGAAGGCAGCCUGCCAAGCCAUGACUGACGCUGAUGCACGAAAGCGUGGGGAUCAAACAGGAUUAGAUACCCUGGUAGUCCACGCAGUAAACGAUGAUCACUAGCUGUUUGCGAUACACAGUAA
rnacentral:rRNA from 1 species